AUGACAUUUAUGCUGCCGUUUUUAUAUAAUUACAAAAUGGUGGGAAAAAAGAAAAGUUUUUUUGGUUUUUUUUUUUCUCGCAUGAUUCAUUUCAAAAAUGUUAAGGAGUGGAAGCAAUUUAUGAAUCCUAAAAUAGAUGGAACGAGGAUAAAAAAGAUAAGGAAUGUAAGCGAAAAUGAUAUGUUAUAUAAACAUAGGGUAUUAAAAUACCCUUAUUUUAAAAUGAAAAAAAUAGGCCGUUAUAGUAAAAUAAAAAAAAUUAGUCCUUUAAUUUUUAACAGAGAUAUAGAAAUUACAUAUGAUUAUCAAUAUUAUUCAAUUUUUGCUCAACUGAAAGAUAUGAUUACUUUGGGAUUAAAAGGGAUUGUGAUAAGAGAGAGAUGUACCGACGACAUGACCUUCGAAGUAUACGACUGCUUACAAAAUAAGACACUGAUAAAAAAACAAAAAGAAGAGUUUACAGCGGAUGAUGUUUUUAAAGAAAUUGUUAUAAAAAUACAAGAGAGUGUUUAA
rnacentral:lncRNA from 1 species